GUAGGUGGCAAGCGUUGUCCGGAAUUAUUGGGCGUAAAGCGCGCGCAGGCGGUUCUUUAAGUCUGAUGUGAAAGCCCACGGGCUCAACCGUGGAGGGUCAUUGGAAACUGGAGAACUUGAGUACAGAAGGGGAAAGCGGAAUUCCACGUGUAGCGGUGAAAUGCGUAGAGAUGUGGAGGAACACCAGUGGCGAAGGCGGCUUUCUGGUCUGUAACUGACGCUGAGGCGCGAAAGCGUGGGGAGCAAACAGGAUUAGAUACCCUGGUAGUCCACGCCGUAAACGAUGAGUGCUAAGUGUUAGGGGGUUUCCGCCCCCUAGUGCUGCAGCUAACGCAUUAAGCACUCCGCCUGGGGAGUACGGCCGCAAAGGCUG
rnacentral:rRNA from 1 species